rnacentral:rRNA from 1 species
AGAGUUUGAUUCUGGCUCAGAACGAACGCUGGUGGCGUGUCUUAUACAUGCAAGUCGAGCGGUGCAGCAAUGCAUAGCGGCGAACGGGUGAGUAACGCGUAAGCAAUCUGCCCCCUGUUCGGGAAUAGCCGUGCCAACGCGCGGGUAAUACCGGAUAUCGUGGCUCCCCACAUGGGGAGUUGACAAAAGAUUUAUCGACAGGGGAUGAGCUUGCGUCCGAUUAGCUAGUUGGCGGGGCAACGGCCCACCAAGGCGACGAUCGGUAGCCGGCCUGAGAGGGUGAUCGGCCACAUUGGGACUGAGAUACGGCCCAGACUCCUACGGGAGGCAGCAGUAGGGAAUAUUGCACAAUGGGGGAAACCCUGAUGCAGCAACGCCACGUGUGGGAAGAAGCAUUUCGGUGUGUAAACCACUGUCGUGAGGGAAUAAGGCUGAGUUUCGGCUCAGUUGAAUGUACCUCGAGAGGAAGCACCGGCAAACUUCGUGCCAGCCGCUGC